AUUGCCAUUCACACAAUCCCUAAAGGCACCACCACCGCCAUUACCACCACAGCCACCCAAAUCUGAACGCACCUACUGCUACUACUACUACCGCCUUCAACGCCUCCGCAAUUUGUUCCCAGAUCUCUGCUGUUUGGCGGUCGCAUUCUGCGUCGGAGUAUAUUUUUUGUGUGUUUUUUUCAGGUGCGAAGGCGGAUAGGGCUGGAGAUAAAUGUCUGCUGUGAAAUGAAGCAGAGGAGUCGUUUACCUGCGUUUUUUGGCAGUGCUCGAUGAGCGUUUUGUUGGUGUUCGCUUUGUUUUUGCUGGUUCUGCGCUCGGCUGAUGUUACGCAGUUCCGAAUCGGGGCAAUGGCAGACCGCUGACGGAAGCCGAAGUGAAAUACAUCACGAAAAGGCAGCUGCUGUACUAUCUGGAUGAGUUUGGGGACAGAGGAGAGAAUCAUUCAGCGGCGCAACAAGAAAUCUUUUGGAAGAAAACAAUUAGGCUUUUGGUCAGAUUUCAGCAAAUCUUACGACCCUCAAGGUGAACAACAUUAGUGGGACGCUUCCAAGGCGGUAUGCUUGUUCGCUUAUCUGCUCCAUCUUCUCCUACUGCUUCUCGCCGAUUCCAUUCAAGUUUUUCUGUUUUUUUCUCUUUCCUUCUCACUUUUCCUAAUUCAAUUGCGGUACAUUCCAUGGCGUAUGUAUGUAUCUUCCGAUGGAACGUGAGUCGACAUCUAUGUGGGAGUUAAGCUUUGUUGUAUCUUCUAACCAUGGUAAACAUCUCUGGUUUUAGUUUACUUCAUCUCCAUUUUAAGGUAAGGUUCAGUGCUAUCAUCUUCUCAAACAAUAUUAUGUUUGUGCCACUAAAAACGCUUUAUCGUUUAUUGGAAACAACAUAGAUUGAAAGGAGUGCUAAAUGGGUCAUAUACCAUGAUUGUGCCACUUUUUCGAGUGAUUUACUAAGAUUGUAUUUGUAAAUUUGUGGUUCUGAAAUGUGUAAGCUAAUGAUUGAUCCGUUUGUUUGCUGUCUACUUCAUUCAUUUUCCGAAACAGAGAUAUUGGAUUUUAAGUUUUUGUUGAAACCAAAGUGUAGUAAUGUCCCUUGCGUUAUGGAGGAGAGUCUGAACCGGCAACUUACCGGGGGUGCCUUAAGGGGGGACAGGGGAAUGGCUGUAUUUAAUUUGAGUGGUGACGUGACGAGAUUCUUGAGUACAAAGUUGAAUGUAAUUCCAACUGCUGACUAUCAAACACUGCUUCUGUUAAAUCUUUCCUGGGUGGAUCACUGUUAAAACUUUUCAGAAUGAAUAUGGAAUGGUUAUCUGAUAAAUGAAAUGUCAUUUUCUAAAACAGGUGAACAACAUUAGUAGGUACGUUCCUGGGCGGAUAGUAUUCUUUCUGGUAUGUAUGUUGUAUGUAUGUAUGUAUCAUAAUGAGAAGGAGGAUGAGGUUGCAGUGGGGGAGCAUAUACUCAUUCAUUCCUUCAGCUGCAACUCCCUCUUGACAGCUUGCUAGCUAGGCGGGUAGUUAUGUUGUGAAAAACCAGUUACAUUGUUUGGUUGUAUUAGUUCCCUCUUUUUUCUUGUUGCCAUAGAUUAAACAAACCCCUCGGCUUUUUAAUCUUUAAUGUUAUUAUUUACUUGUUGUGUUUCUAAGUAAGUUUCAAUGAAUUUAUUUUAUGUUAUGAGUGUUCAUAGUGUGAGCAGGUCCUUGCCACUGCUCAUUAUUUAUUAACAAAUUUUAGUUUCUCUUUGAAUGUGUCAGAUCAAUGAGGGAAAAAGUAACUCCAUAUUGUCUGAAUUACCCAUGACUUCAUUUUGUAAUUUAGUUGUUUCUGUAGAGCUAUACACAGUACAUCCCGCUACAAAUCAUUGAUCUCGAUUCCUGGUUGAAGACCCCCUCAAUAUAUGUUUUUGAUUGCUCUGCUGCUGGAUUUAUUGUGAAUGCCUUCAUUGAGCUCCAGGAAAAUAGUACCUCAAGUUCUGGAUCUUCCAUGAGGGACUGUAUUUUGCUAGCAACCCGUGAAGCUCAUGAGACGCUACCACAAAGUGCUGAGUUUCCUGCUGAUGUAUUUACUUCCUUCCUUACAACACCCAUAAAAAUGGCACUAAGAUGGUUCUGUUCUCGGUCACUUCUUCAUGAAUCAAUUGAUUAUUCUCUGAUUGAUAGAAUUCCUGGCCGCCAAACAGACAGGAAGACCCUUCUUGGGGAGUUGAACUGGAUAUUCACAGCUGUGACUGAUACUAUUGCAUGGAAUGUACUUCCUCAUGAGAUUGUUCAGGCAAGAUCUUUUGGUUGCCAGCCUGUUUUGAAAUUUUUUGCUUGCUGAAAGGAUAAUGCGGUCUGCAAAUUGUUCGCCAGUUUCACAUCCAAUGUUACCACCAACCCAUUAGCACCAUAUGUGGGAUGCAUGGGACAUGGCAGCUGAAAUAUGCCUUUCUCAGCUUCCAACAUUAGUUGAGGACCAGAGGCCGAGUUCCAGUGGGCCCAAUGACAUGGUAUCCGGUGACCCGAACCCGAAUAUCGGCGGACCUAUCGCGACCCGUACCCGAUCAAAGACAUUACUUUGUUUAGAGGUUGUGAGCCAUUGAUUUUUAGAUUAAUGUAUGGCCCAGAUUAGAUAGGUCUUCUUAGCAUAUAUUCCUUAUAUUCUACUUGUAAAACAUUCAUUCCAUGCAUUUAAGAAAAAGUAACUACCACUUUGAAGAAGUUUCUUUCUUUUCGGAGAGAUUCUACCCAUCUAUUGGAGUGAUUCCAAUCAACCGAGAGGGUUAAUUUUUUAGCCUUCGGA